GCAGUAGCCGCGGGAAUACGUAGGGUGCGAGCGUUAAUCGGAAUUACUGGGCGUAAAGCGUGCGCAGGCGGUUCGUUAAGACAGAUGUGAAAUCCCCGGGCUUAACCUGGGAACUGCAUUUGUGACUGACGGGCUAGAGUAUGGCAGAGGGGGGUAGAAUUCCACGUGUAGCAGUGAAAUGCGUAGAGAUGUGGAGGAAUACCGAUGGCGAAGGCAGCCCCCUGGGCCAAUACUGACGCUCAUGCACGAAAGCGUGGGGAGCAAACAGGAUUAGAUACCCGGGUAGUCCCUGUCUCUUAUAA
rnacentral:rRNA from 1 species